rnacentral:tRNA from 1 species
GGCUUCACAGCUCAGUUGGUGUGGCAUCGCACCGAUAUCGCGGAGGUCACGGGUUCGUAUCCCGUUGAAGCCC